UGUUAAGGGAAAAAUACGUGCGCUAUAUACGUGAGGUUGAAGUUCCAUCUCUCUCAGCAUUAUCAACAUACCAAAAUUGUACUCAUUAGCCUGUUGGAUCAAGGCAUGGAGGAUAAAUGUUAUUAAAGGAUAUGUUUAUCUUAACCUUAUCCUGGAAAACUGAAGAUAUGAAAUUUGGGACUGAAGAUAUGUGGACAUUUUAAAUCUCCAAAUUCUUUUGAAAAGGCAUGGAAACCAUCCUAGUUCGUCCCAGCAUUGCAAGUGUUCAUCCUUCUGGAAAGUUCCAGCUUUCACCUCUGGUGGUAAAGUACAAGUUCCCUUCUGACCUCUUCCCUACCUUGGCUUACCCUCCUGUUUCUUAAAGAAUGUGAAAUAAAUGGGAUCAUACAGUCUGUAAUUUUUUGAAACUGACACCUUUAACUCAGCAUAAAGCUUUUGA